rnacentral:lncRNA from 1 species
UGAUAACCGGUGCCUCACAGUUCAGGCAUGAGAAGACGUUUCAACUGGAGAGUUAAGUGGCACUUAAAGGUCUGGCUUAUCUUUGAGAAAACUUUUCACUCGUUCAAAUUAAGGGCUAGGAAUUUGAAGGUUUGGAGAAUUGACAUCUUGGGGCUGAGAGUACAUGUACAAGCCAUGGACCUCCUGAGCAUAUUGAAUAAAUGGAGGACUAAUUCAACUGCAGCAGUGAGGGGAGGCUGGUUUCACUGGCGUCUAUCUGUGAAACUCACCUAGCUGUCAAAACCAGGAUGCUGCUGUUGGAUUCAGGACCUGGAUAUCCUGAAUUUGGGCUGCUCUACUAUUGGUUGCAUCAACGCAAUUCUGCC